GGGGGGAGGCCGGAUCCUGGGCUGUGUCCCAGCGCCCUGUGCUCCCGGGCCUACGCUGUUGGAUUCACGCUUUGGCCGCGCAUCCCCCU
rnacentral:pre_miRNA from 1 species